ACCCAGACGCCUCUACAAAUUGCACUAUUUAAAAUUUAGCAACACUUGGGGCGCCUGAGUGGCUCAGUCGGUGAAGCGUCUGACUUCAGCUCAGGUCAUGACCUCACGGUUUGUAACUCAGAGCCUGAAAUCUUCACAUUCUGUGUCUCCCUCUCUCUCUGCCUCUCGCCCACUCCUGCUCUGUCUCUCUCUCUCUCUCUCUCUCUCAAAAAUAAACAUUUAAAAAUAAACAAACAAAUACAUAAAUAAAAUUUAGCAACACUUAGGUCAAAUGUAAAUGUUUAAAGAAAUUUAUGCUGGCAGUGAACUAAGAAAGUAGCAAGUGGAUGGAUGUUAACUGGUUUAGGAAUUAAACUUUCUCAGAUUCUGUUUU